CGCACGGGUGAGUAACGCGUAGGUGACAUGCCUUUUAGUGGGGGACAACAUCGGGAAACCGGUGCUAAUACCGCAUAAGUUAGACGACAUUGAAAAAGUCUAAGAAAGGGGGCUUCGGCUCUCGCUGAAAGAUUGGCCUGCGUAGCAUUAGCUUGAUGGUGGGGUAAUGGCCUACCAUGGCUUCGAUGCUUAACUGGUCUGAGAGGAUGAUCAGUCACACUGGAACUGAGACACGGUCCAGACUCC
rnacentral:rRNA from 1 species